CAGCCGCCACGGGAAUACAGAGGGUGCGAGCGUUAAUCGGAUUUACUGGGCGUAAAGCGUGCGUAGGCGGCUAAUUGAGUCGGAUGUGAAAUCCCCGAGCUUAACUUGGGAAUUGCAUUCGAUACUGGUUAGCUAGAGUGUGGGAGAGGAUGGUAGAAUUCCAGGUGUAGCGGUGAAAUGCGUAGAGAUCUGGAGGUAUACCGAUGGCGAAGGCAGCCAUCUGGCCUAACACUGACGCUGAGGUACGAAAGCAUGGGGAGCAAACAGGAUUAGAUACCCCCGUAGUCCCUGUCUCUUAUAC
rnacentral:rRNA from 1 species